UUAUCUGUCUGUCAAGUUAUUUAUCUGUAAUAAAUGAUACGUAAACGAAAACUGAUGGUCGCAACUGAUUUAAAGCUAUUUUAUCACGCGUCAGUAAAUCAUAUAAGUAGCUGACUUGCAAAAUUCGGACACGUUUUGCUAUGCUAACGAAAUUGAUGUAGUAGGUAUGAAAGAAAACGAUUUUUGUACUGAUGACGCUACGCUAGAAUCCUGAAAUACCCGGAAUAAAAGAGCAAGAUUGUAUUUAAGCGGGUUAGCGGAAACAAUAUAUUUCGAAGCAUACUGAGAAUGAAGAUGCUUUAUUACUACGUAUGCAAGAUAUACAAAAAUUAGCAGGUCACAGAAUGAUUUCAUCACACAAACGGAAAAGUAGCGUACGCCUUAAAAAAUAAAUUUGCUUUUAUAUUCAAA